rnacentral:lncRNA from 1 species
CACAAAGUUUGGAAGAAUGUAUUUCCAGUUUCAUUUCACAGAGAAAGAAUCACCUCAGAAGAAUGAGAUGCAGCAAAGUCAAUGGAAAGAGCACUAACUCCGGAAUCAAAGGACUGGAUGUAAAUCCCAUCUCUGGGGUUUGCAAUCUAUGACUUUGGAGAGAAGAUGGAAGGAUGCUCUGAGAAGGAAGCAAUUUUUCAUUCUUCACUGAAUGAUGAUGAAGAUCCGCAGAUACUAGGAGAAAAACAGGUAUGCCAAUGGAAUGCGUCUAAGGACUGUCCAAACCAAGAUUCAUCCAUCACUGAAGUCUGUUAGCAUGGUUUUAUAGUAAGAUCGAUCAAUAAUUUCAGAUCAUGUCUUCUGCGUUCUAUUUGGACAGAUGGGCUGUUAAUAUUAACAUCAUUCUCAUUAGCAAUUAAAGAUAGCGUGGUGUAAUAAAAUGAAUGCUGAAACUAGAGUCA